GGGGGUAUGGGUUUAGUGGUCGAGCAUUCGACUGCACAUCGAGGUCCCCGGUUCCCAAACCCCGGGUGCUCCCU